GGACACGCUGGCGGCGUUGCCUAAUACAUGCAAGUCGAACGCUUUUUCUUCACCGGAGCUUGCUCCACCGAAAGAAAAGAGUGGCGAACGGGUGAGUAACACGUGGGUAACCUGCCCAUCAGAAGGGGAUAACACUUGGAAACAGGUGCUAAUACCGUAUAACACUAUUUUCCGCAUGGAAGAAAGUUGAAAGGCGCUUUUGCGUCACUGAUGGAUGGACCCGCGGUGCAUUAGCUAGUUGGUGAGGUAACGGCUCACCAAGGCAACGAUGCAUAGCCGACCUGAGAGGGUGAUCGGCCACACUGGGACUGAGACACGGCCCAGACUCCUACGGGAGGCAGCAGUAGGGAAUCUUCGGCAAUGGACGAAAGUCUGACCGAGCAACGCCGCGUGAGUGAAGAAGGUUUUCGGAUCGUAAAACUCUGUUGUUAGAGAAGAACAAGGAUGAGAGUAAAACGUUCAUCCCUUGACGGUAUCUAACCAGAAAGCCACGGCUAACUACGUG
rnacentral:rRNA from 1 species